UUGAAAGGGAAACGAUUGAAGUCAGUCGUACCAGCGGGAAAUCAACCUUUCGGGUGGGAUUUUGGAGUUUUGAAGAGUGUUAAAACCUUUGAGAUUUCAAAAUGUUUGCUCUUUUGGUGUACUUUCUCGUAGGUAGGUUAACAUCGAUUUUGAUCAUCAUAAAAGGAUUGGAGGAAUGUAGCUUCGAUCUUGUAUUGAAGUGUUAUAGCCUUUGGUAAAUGUGAUGAUUGGGAUCGAGGAUUGCAACGAAUACCCUUUUGGGCUAUCCGCCUGAUCUCUGAUACGUGGCCUUGGCAUCGAAAGCUUGCUUAUGGCAUCAAGGUAUUACGGUCAAAAGGUUAGAACGGAUUACAUUCGUUAAGGAUGUUGACGUA
rnacentral:rRNA from 1 species